rnacentral:pre_miRNA from 1 species
UUCAUAUUCCCCCUGUUCGGAAUUACUUGUCGCAGAAAUGGAUGUAUCUAGACGUAUUUUAGUUCUACAUACAUCCAUCUUCGAGACAAGUAAUUUCGAACGAAGGGAGUACACG